CUUUAUUAUUUUCUUCAUUUUUCAAGAGAAUUCUAGAGAGAAAACACAAGUAUACACCUCCAUAAAAGCUUGCUUUCAAUUUUGUCUAGUGAAGAAAGGAAAGCUUUUCUUCAAAUUCUAAAUCAUUUAAAGUGUUCCUCUCAUCCUCAUCUUUAUCUUCAUAUCAAUUUCUUUUAGGUAAAUUUAGAUAUAACUCUCCUUCUUUCCACUUGAAGUUUUGGUCAUGUGGUGUUUAUGAAAGAAACUACAUGUUUUUGAUAUUUUUGCUUGGAAAAUCAUAUUUAGAAGUCUCAAGGAGUAAGAAAAAUACCAUAACAAGCUUGAAAAAGGUGCUCUAAGAAGUUGAAAGCUACAAAGUCUCAAGCUUAAAGGGUACCCACUUCUUCCACUCUUCCUUUGCCGACGAGGUUUGGAUCACGCCUUAGAAGUCUACCGACCUCAUCAGAAGGACGACUUAUACCUCAGCUCAAGCUGGCAGAGCUAAUAACACUCGAUGAAAAGAUGAUGCUGUCUAUUUUGCUACGUCCUAGAGUUAAAGUGCCUUUAUGUUUUAAAGACGGCCGAUGUCAUAUGAAGUUACGAAGCCUAGAAUAUUUUUUUUCUUUUCUUGUUAGUAUUUUUUUUAGUGUUUAGACUUUUCUAGUUCAGGUUUCAGACUAGAGGUUUCUUAGAUGGGCUAGGAUGUAGGGUCAUGUUUAAAAGAGUCUGUAUUAUAUAUAUGAAAUAUCAUAAGCUAAGAAAUCUAAUAUUUGAGUUAACAUGUGUUAUGUUGUACUACUGGUACUACUUUUACUCCUUGGAUGUAUGAAUGAGAAUUGUAUGCCUAU